GAUGAACGCUGGCGGCGUGCCUAAUACAUGCAAGUCGAGCGAACGGACGAGAAGCUUGCUUCUCUGAUGUUAGCGGCGGACGGGUGAGUAACACGUGGAUAACCUACCUAUAAGACUGGGAUAACUUCGGGAAACCGUAGCUAAUACCGGAUAAUAUUUUGAACCGCAUGGUUCAAAAGUGAAAGACGGUCUUGCUGUCACUUAUAGAUUGAUCCGCGCUGCAUUAGCUAGUUGGUAAGGUAACGGCUUACCAAGGCAACGAUGCAUAGCCGACCUGAGAGGGUGAUCGGCCACACUGGAACUGAGACACGGUCCAGACUCCUACGGGAGGCAGCAGUAGGGAAUCUUCCGCAAUGGGCGAAAGCAUGACGGAGCAACGCCGCGUGAGUGAUGAAGGUCUUCGGAUCGUAAAACUCUGUUAUUAGGGAAGAACAUAUGUGUAAGUAACUGUGCACAUCUUGACGGUACCUAAUCAGAAAGCCACGGCUAACUACGUG
rnacentral:rRNA from 1 species